AUGAUCCUGAACGCUUUGUCGGUCACUGGACUCCUGCUCUCCCUGACCGGUUUAACGGCGUAUAAUUUGAGUCAGGAGAAGUCCAAGUCGGUGAAACUGGGUGACAAGGUGUCGAUACUCUGCAUUGCAGAAGAUGAUAAGUAUUACAUUUCAUGGUACCAACAAAAAGCCGUGAUAUCUGAUCGUCCGUCGCCUCCUCCGUCUCUGCUCCUGCUGGCUCCUCCUGCUUCUCCGCUCUCUGAGGGUGAUGUCAGUGUGGUGUGUGUGGCUCAGGGCUUUUACCCUGACGGUGUCACCAUGUCCUGGUCUGAGGACAGCAGCGGCGUGACGGGGGACGAGGUGCAGACGGCUCCGUAUCAGCGUCAGGCCGAUGGCACCUUCUCCCAGACCAGCGUUCUGAAGCUCAGUAAGCAGCGCUGGAGCUCCGGGAGAACCUACACGUGCCGUCUGAGUCACCCGGCGCUUGCCACACCGCUGAGCCAGAGCACCAGCCUGAACCAGUGCAUGUAGAGAGAUUCUCUAACCAUCAACAAACAUGCAUUAAAGAAUUCCACGUGUUCUUUACUUGCUUGCUUUAGAAAGUAUACGAUAAUAAAGUGAUAUUGUUAAUUGUAAUUGUUAA